UAAGAAGACCGGAGCUUCCAACAAGGUCAAAUAACGAAAUGCUUUAACUUUAACAUUUCUGUAUUUUCUAAGGCUUUGAGUUUAGUAGUUGGAAUAAUUUAGUUGAAGACUCUGCUAUAAUGUUUGAUUGCUUUGGAGAAGAUUAUGUAAAUGUUGUUUCUCUUUGUUUCUCCCAACGAAGAUGGCUAAAGGAAAGUCGCCUCGUAAAUCAACGCCUAAGAAAAAUGCAACUAAGAACGGGAUUGUAGCUACUGCUGAUGAUCACAUUAAUGUCUCACCUUCACUUCCCAAUUUGCGGCUGGAGGCAAAACUAAGAGCUGAGGAAGAUUCGCGGAUGUCUGCUGGGAAGCAACUACAUCCCUUUUUCUCGUCUUAGAAAGGAGGUAAGAAGAAUCAAGAAGCAAUUGUAGCGGAGAAUGGUGGUUGUCAGGAUCAAGGGAAAGAUAAAAUUGUCACCAUCGGUCCUAUCCAUGUAUUUGAAAGCCUUCCAUGAAUAUGCUUCAUACAUAGGGCAUAUUUCAAGAGCUAAUCCUUCUAAUUUAUCUGGAGCCAUGGAGAAUAGCAGACGUCGAAGGUCAAAAGAAUCUCGACAUUAUCUGUCAAUGGAUCUUUCCUCUGAAGAUAUUGCAUUCUUGGGUCAACAAAACACAUAUAGAAGAGAAGAGAUGAAUAACUAAACCAAUUUCAGUUGUAUAGAAGUUAGAAAAGCUCCACACUUCAAAGAGUUUUAAACGUGUUUGCUCACCAAUAAGUUAGCAGAGAUUAGAGCUUUAGGCAUGACCUUAUUGCAUAGUUUCUUCAUUUAUAACAUAUACACAUAUAAAAUUCAUAAAAAGAAAGAAAGAAACACCAAUUGUUGUAUUUGAUAAAUUAAAGAUUCUACAUAUCAUAUAAUAGAAUACUUCUAGAUUAAUGAUAUAUACACUUAAAAACGUUGUGACGUGCAAGUGAAUGGCAAUGUACUAAUUUUCAGUUUUCUACUCUUUUAGGUCCUAUAAGUGGUCAAUAACAUAAGAAGACUACAUCUAAAACUUAUCCUUAGAGCACCUCCAACCAUAAGAAACCAUAUAAGUUUCUAAAAUAUAUAUAUUAGUAUUAUAGUUAGUCAAUCAUACUUUUUUAAAAAUCAAUAAAAACACUAUUUUUUACAUGAUGACAUGUGUAUUUUUAAGUUACUAAUAGUUUCUAAAAACCUCUAAGUUUAGAACUUUUUGUGUUUUCUCUCCUAAUUUUAUUAUUCAUUCUUUUUUCUUAAAUAGUUAGAACCCUUCAUAAUACUCAUUGUUGGAGGUGCUCUUAGAUGUUUUGUCCAUGGCAUUUCCUAUAUUCCAAUUAUCACAAGUUCAGUAUUAUUGUUAUAAAAUUUUAAAAUAUUAAGAAACUUUAACCUCUUGUAAUUCACGCCUUCACGGUAGUGAAACAAAUUUUUGUUGCUCCUCGCAUUGCAAGAAAGUUAUCUGAUUGGUCAAGAUAAUAAGCCCAAUUGCUCAUUUAGUCACAUAUGGCAGGAAGAUGACGUUCAAAUUGGUUACACUAAUCAAUAAAAUUUUUUAAAAUGUUAAUACCAUUGGAGAUGUAAAAAACAAAUAAAAAGCAUAUUUACCCUCUCACAAGGAUCAAUGUGCAUGUAGAUAUCAUAAUACUCCUUCUGAUACUCUUUCAGAAGCCAAUAAACACCAAAAAGAUCCCUCAACUUUAUUGUAGCUCUUUCGAUUUCAUAGGACUUUCUAGAUCCAUUACCGUAAAUCUUUUGAUCUGUCUUAUCAAUUGAAUAGAGUUGCCAUCCGUAAGUAGUUCUACGACUGAAACAAAACAUAAUUCAAUUAGUCAACUUAACAAGCAAGUUAUGACAAAGUUCCAAAUACAUUUAUUAUCAGUACUCACUUAGAUCUAGUACCCGGAGUAACAAGUAUUCUAUUGAACACUACUUUGGUCACGGUAGUUAUGGUUUGUCAUGGAUUGAAAAGCGUCAGUGUAGAAUUUGACACCAAGAAGUACAUAUGAAGGUUCUAGAGGAAUAUAGUGCAUUGUCUUCUAAGUGUCCUGACAUGUUUAACAAGAAAGACAAAGGUUUUUCUAUGGAUCAUUUAACAGAUUUGAAUGCAAAUCAAGAGAUCGAGAAAUGAAUAACAUCGUUAUGAAGGAUAAUGACGUAGAUAAUAUGUGAUUCAAGAGAAAAAUCAUGAAAUAAAAGCAAAACCUAACAUGAUUGCUUGUGGAGUAUACUCAUGAUCAUAAAGGAUAUCACCCAAUUUGAGAGUUGCCAUUGAAAAUAAAAAA